GACGAACGCUGGCGGCGUGCUUAACACAUGCAAGUCGAACGGAAAGGCCCCUUUGGGGGUACUCGAGUGGCGAACGGGUGAGUAACACGUGAGUAACCUGCCCUUGUCUUCGGGUUAACUUCAGGAAACUGGGGCUAAUACCGGAUAGGAAUCCUUGCUGCAUGGUGGGGGUUGGAAAGCUUCUGCGGUUUUGGAUGGACUCGCGGCUUAUCAGCUUGUUGGUGGGGUAGUGGCUUACGAAGGCUUUGACGGGUAGCCGGCCUGAGAGGGCGACCGGCCAAAUUGGGACUGAGAUACGGCACAGACACCUAAGGGAGGGAGCAGUGGGGAAGAUUGAACAAUGGGCGGAAGCCUGAUGAAGCAACGGCGCGUGCGGGAAGACGGCCUUAGGGUUGUAAACCGCUUUCAGCAGGGGCGAAGCUUGUGGUGACGGUACCUGCAGAAGAAGCACCGGCUAACUACGUG
rnacentral:rRNA from 1 species